GAUUUCUAAGCCUUCUCACAACUUUGUCUCCAGCUCCCCUGUAAUUUUAUUUGUCCAGCUAUUAACUUUGAUUUAAAAAAUGGUGUGGACUAAAAACCCGGAUGGACGUAGUAGCCCUCCAUUUUUAUUUACUCCGCAUAUUAGAUUUGAAUGAAGUCAAACUUUGUAAUACUCUCAAACCUUUCCGAUAAUUGAAAUUAAAAUUCUUUAUUUGUACACACUCUCACACGUUUCCGAUAAUUUGGCGCAUGUGUGGUUGUUCACUUAAGGGAGGGUAGUGUACCACACGUGAAGGACAGGAAGUGCGACCAGGACGCGUGGGCGUGGAUCGUUAGUUCAUCGGAAGUAGUACUAGUUUUCUUCACUAUACAUUAAAUAAAGAGUUUCAUUUCGUACUUACACAAUUUAAAACGAUUGUUAUGGAGAGAAUAAGAAAACACUCCACUAUAUAUUAGUCGUAUACACGAGAGUACUAUAUGGACGCAGCUUCAUUGACUUAGUGCACCUGCCUUUGGAUUUAUGACAGGUGGGCCCAAAAUGUGGCUGGCUCACCUGUCAUACAGCCAAAAGCAGGUGAAGUGAAGGCACCGGAGCUCAGUCCGUACUACAGUAGUAUAUAUAUAAGCGGGAGCCUCAGCGCUUGUUCGCUAGGGUUUGCACUCUCCACACGCUCGCCGCACUACAUAUAUGUUACACGCUGGAGGCUCAGCGUUCAUUUGCUAGGGUUUGCUAUAUUCACAGUCUCUCACCCUCUCUUCACCAGAUCUAAACAAGACUGUGUUGGCCUCUUGUCUCUCUCUCCCCCCUCACAGCUGGUGAAGGAGGCGUCUGUAUCCCGUCGCACCGGGAAGGGGAGGAGGUGCAGCGAUCACUCUAUCGCCUUCAGCGAGGGAGGCAAACCACUACCGGCUGCGCUGUUCUCUUUCACCCAGCACCUAUGCGGGACGGCCACCGACCCCUUCUUCCUCGCUGCCGUACGUAGUGUGGGCAGAUCCGGCCUCCCGCCGCAUGCCUUGCCACAUCCCGACGACCCUAAGGUAUAAGUUUCUUUGAAACCGUCGUUGCUCUAGCUGCAUGUGGAUCUUUUUCGAUCUGUAGUCGAAUCUAGGUCUUGGUUCCAAGAGGAAUAAAGGGUGCAGUGGGCUGGAGCAAGAAUCUAGGACGUGGUUCAAUGAGGAAAGGAGGGGCGGAAAGUAGUAUAGACUGGCUAUCCAGCCGCUUUGUAGGUCGAAAAGGGAAAAAGGGGGUAACCCAGUACACACAUCUGUAAGGAACCGAUCUCUUUAUUGAAAAGGGAAAGAAACUGGGGGGUCGGGUAGUUUGUGCGGGACUAGAUUUGCUGCCCUCACAUAGGAAGAAGGUUCAAAGAGAACAAAUAUGGGACCAGCGCAUAUAUGCUGCUUGGCUACAUACUCUGCAUCACCCAUUUAUACGUGUGGAUGCACAUGGUGCUGGCAUGUCCCAUACAGCUAUUUUGCUGUUGUUAAUCUAAGAAUUGCGCCGGAAAAUUGAAGCAAUGCCACUGUUAAAAGUAAAUUACAUUUUUUAACGAAUGUUGUUUCAAGAGAAUGUCUCUGUUAAUAUGAAUCAAUGCAACCGUUUUAGAAAUGCUACUGUCCUACUUUGUUUUCCAUCCACGAUAAGUUAGAUGCUUCUUUCUGUCACCGUUUGUUUCAUCCUCCUUUAUCGGCAAGUAAUUGUUUCCUUUUUUGCCUCUGUUAAAACAGGGCUAUCAAUUCAACUUGUUUCUAUUGCGACAUUUUGCUUCGCUACUCGAAACACUUAUGUUUUAAGAGUGUUUUGUGCAGUUCAACUUGAAUGUCACACCGGUGACUUUGCUUAAUUUUGGUGGACCUGAACAAACGGAGAUUGAGAUUCGUAUUUUACCUUUGUCGGUCUCAUGAAAGGUCAGUACAGGCCUUCAUCCACAUGAUUGUGCAGUGUGAUUUGAGAUGUUAUGCUACUUGUAUUGGUACUAUUUUAAAUAAAUGUUGAAUUGAAGCUAUUGUGUUGCUGUCUUUUCCCAUUAAGUAGUGAACAAAAAUGGGACCAACCCAGACAUGAUGCUUGUUGCUUUGUUACAACAAACUCUGCAUCACCCCCUUUAUAAGUAGAUGGAAGCACAUACUGUUGUUGCGCCCACUCUCCCCUGGAACUGUUUAUGCUUUUCGUUAAUCUAAUGCCGCUGGUAAAAUUAAGCAAUGCCACUCUCAGAAUUAAUUAACUAUUGAAUCUUAGUUCAAAACUGCAACACUUGUUAGGAAUGGUACUAUCCUGCUUUGUAGUUCUUUCUACAUGUUUAACCAAGGUAUUGUUAAGAUAAUGUCUCUGUUAAAAUGAAUCAGUUGCAUUGUUUUAGGAAUGGUACUUUUCUGCUUUGUCGUUCUUUAUACAUGUUGAAACAAGGCAUUGUUAAGAUAAUGUCUCAGUCAAUAUGAAUGAAUCACACUGAUGGAGAAUUGCUACUCUCCUGCUUUGUUUCCCAUUAAGAUAAAGUAGAUCAGUAGAUGCUUUUCUUCUGGGAGUACAAGUCAUCAACCGUUAUUUCUCAGUAAUUGUUUCCCUUAUACCUAUUGUUGCUUACAGUGAUAUCAAAAUUAAAGCUCGGUUUUAUUCCGACUUCGAUUUUAGUUGAACUGCACAAAAGGAGCCAAUGUGUCCAAGGCAAACUACUGCAUUACUGGGUCCAGUUGGUCGUUCCACUUUGCAUAAAGAAGCAGUCACUGUUUGCGCUACAUUACAGAAGGAAUGACCGAGAAGCUUUACAGAGUACUAUUAGACACCGGUGACAUGACUAGUCUGUAGAGACCAUUGGCAAUUUAACAACACGUGGAGUGCCCUGGGCAAAAAGUGCCCAAACAAGUACAAGAAGCUACGACAGGACUCCACGAUCAUAGGCAUUACAUAUUUUGAAUGGGAAAAGCUUGUCAAAGUUUAAUCAUUGAUGUUAGCAAGAAGACGUUAGUUUAAUAUAUUGGAAUUGGAAAACCUUGUCAAAAUUUGCUCAUUGAUGUUAGCCAGAAGACAUGCAUUUGAUAUUUUUGAGUGGGACGCCCUUGCUGUGAGCAGCGUCGAGUGUUUUUUCCUAUUCCUGUGUUCAGUUUAGAAGUAAAUAGUUACUCUGCUGAGAUAUUCUUGUGUUAAGAGUUUGUUCUGAAUAUUGUCUAUGUAAUGCCAGGCCUUGUGUUUGAUUGCAAAGUUGAGCUUGGAAUGUUGUGGCAUGCGGCAUCCCGAGCUAUUCACCGUGGCUCCUGAGAAUAAUGCUUCGUAUUGUUUUGCAUGUUGAUCUAAUGCCAGUGAUUUGCUUGUUAAGAAGAUCAUCCUCUUCUGUUGUUUCCGUGCUUUAAGAAGUUCAUCAUCUGAUGUUUCAUUCAUAGCCUAUACGACAAGUCGGGUAGGUUAGACAUGAAACCAUAUGAUCUUCCGACCAACUCAUGAUAUUAGGCCGUGAUUGGAUCGCUGUUUUCCAACCAAAACCACUUGUAAAACUGACGCUUGUAAAUUAAAGCAGAUGGUCUCGGGCGAAGGCGCUUGGUUGGUCAAUUUCGACUAGUAAAAUAUCGGAAGUACUUCACACACGAUAAAAACGCUGAACGACACUCGAACGAUUGCUAAUCUAGCCGUUAGCUGCUGUUUCAUCCUUGCCCAUGGAUGGCAUGAUACGCACGUCGUGCAUGUAUCGUCUGGUAAUGUCGUCCAUAUAGCAGUGCUCGUAAAAUAUACACUGGUCUCUCAAAUUACACGCGUAACCCGCCGGUUUUACUUACAGACCUCGGGCCCUCGGUUUCAUUACAUCUGUAUUUUACGCGUUGUUUCCGACGACGAGUAAAUUACACUUGUAUGUUAAUACAGGUUUGAAAUAAACCAGAGCUCCCAAGCGCGGCCUUACCGUUUCAUGCCGUCUUAGUUUCUCGAAGGUGCUCAUAGGUGUCCGAUGAUCCUAGCUUCCUGAAUGAGCAGCGGGCGCUGUAUCAGACCAUCCGUAGGGCCCGCGAGGCCCUCUCCGUUGUCCUUCGAGUUGUUGCGCUCGCCGUGGCGUCGAGCAUUGUUAACAUCGUCAACGAACAUGAGGAUUCAGGAGAUGACUUUAUUUUGACUGGAUGACACUAGGGACCCACCAGGGCCAUAGCCGUACGUACGCAAGUGCCUCCUUAUUAUGUACAACUAUAUUUUUUUUGCUUUUUCCUGGUUUCCUGACAUCACGGUCCCACACCAUUGUCAACCUAUGUAGUCAAUAUAAACGAGAGAAUUGCACAAGGUGCGGCCGACAGCUGGGACCAAGCAGCUCGAGCAGUAUUUUUGUUUUUGAGGCGCGAGCACUGCAGAGUUUUUCUUGGCGAUGAUUUCGUUGUUGUUCAGAGGAGAGCAGGGUAUUAACUGGGCGGGCUGUGGCCCGUCUAGCCCAGGCCAGAUAUCCAGCCCAGAUACUAAUUUUUUCAAGAUGAAAAUGGCUAGCCCAGCUAUACGUCUUUUUGAGGAAUACCCAGGCAAGGUCAACUUGUUAUUCUCCGCCCCACUGGGCUGCAAAUCUUUCCUAGGAGGGAUGCAUUAGGCUUAACAGGAAAAUGAGCUUUAAAAAAUAAUAAAUGGCAUGUAAUUAUAAAAACUGGGCAGUAACUAUGAAAAAAUGCACCAAACACGAAAUUAGUUUAUAAAAUAUUAUUUAUGGAUUUUGAAAAUCUUCAAUUUUCAUUGUUGCGCGCGCAAUGUUUCGUUGGAUUUUUACGUAAUACAAAUUUAUAUUUAAUCUGACUAGAAAUUUCGGAUCCCAUCAAAAUGUGGGAAAUUUUAUUGAAUUCUGUCUUCAACGGUUUGUUGAAAUUAUUAAUCGUUGUCCUAGCUAGAAAAUGGGCUGUACUUUUAACAAACUGUAAAUGGGCUGUUGUAAAUUCCAUUAGAAUUCAAAAAUGGGAUGUACAUUCUUACAAGACGCAAAUGGGCUAUAAGUUCUUUGCCACACACUUGUGGACCUACUAAGUGACGCGUCCCCUAAAAAAAUAAGUUGACGCGUAUGCAAGGCUUUGUCAACUUAUUAUAGUCAACACACGGUUCUAGCAGCAGUGGCCGUUGGAUGUCUAUCCAACGGAUGUCGUGCUUCUUCUUCAAUCUCGGAUAUUCUUAGCUUCGGCCGCCCAAAAAAUGAUUCCUCCCCCUGACAUCUGGGGUGCACCGUUUCGGAGGCUGACCUGUGGGCCUACUAAGUUGGAGCGUACUAAGGGCUUUGUCAACUUAGUCAAUAUAAACGAUUCUAGCUUCAGUGACCGUACGAUGUCCAUCCAACGGCCGUAGUGCUUCUUCAACCUCUGGUCUUCUUGGUCCAGCCGCCCAAAGCAGUGUCGGUCGUGCCGCCUACUCCUGCCUCCCGUGGCCGGCUGUGCUGCCGCGGAGGCCUCACCGCCCCCAUACUACUCCCACCGCUGGCCAGGCCAUCCCUCCACUCACCCACACCCCCUGUUAUUCUGCGGCGACGGUAGCCUCACACCGCAGCCGAACCAGUGAACCCUCGUACUCCUCUCCGCGCGGUCUUCCACUACUGCGUCUUCCCCGGCUCCGUGUCAUCCCCUUCCUAGGCCUCGCCGUCGUCCACCGCCCUGGUGCUCUCGGUGCGGCGUGGUCAACAUGGUCAACGACCGACUUCCAUCGGAAGAGUACUGUACGUGGAGAGGCUGAUAGCUGGGUCCACGGCGGCCGCAAGGAAGUGCCUCCUUAUUACGCGCAAAAUAAUUAUUCCUCCACCUGACAGUGGGGACCCACCAGACGGACCACCAGUAUUUUGCGAAAAAAUUGUUUCCCCCUGACUGCUGGGACCCACCGGACGGGCCACCGUAUUUCGCGAAAAAAACGUUCCCCCCGCUGUCAGCUCGGACCCACCGGAAGUGCCUCCUUAUUACGCACAAAAAAAUGAAUACUCCCCCAGCUAGCUGGGACCCACCUUGGUGGGAGGCUGACUUGUGGGCCUACUAAGUUGAAGGGGACGAAGGGCUUUGUCAACUUAGUCAAUAUGAACGAUUCUAGCUCCAGUGACCGUACGAUGUCCAUCCAACGGCCGUAGUGCUUCUUCAACCUCUGGUCUUCUUGCUCCAGCCGCCCAAAGCAGCGCCGGUCGUGCCGCAUGCUCCUGCCUCCCGUGGCCGGCUGUGCUGCCGUAGAGGCCUCACCGCCCCCUACUAUUCCCACCGCUGGCCAGGCCCUGCGGUGACGGCAGCCUCACGCCGCAGCCGAACCAGUGAACCCUCGUACUCCUCUCCGCGCGGGCUUCCACUGCCGCGUCUUCCCCGGCUCCGCGUCAUCCCCUUCCUAGGCCUCGCCGUCGUCCACCGCCGUGGUGCUCUCCGCGCGGCGUGGUCAACGUGGUCAAGGAACGACUUCCAUCGGAAGAGUACUGUACGUGGAGAGGCUGACAGCUGGGUCCACGGCCACAGCCCAGUUUUUUUGUGAUUUGCCAAGUAAGUCGCUUUGUCAGGCCUGUUGGGCUACAAAUCUUUCAAGACGAGGAGAGCUUUCAUUCGGCUGUCCGAGAAAAUGGUCCAUCAGUAAUGAGAAAUGGGCUGUACAUUUUUAAAACACAUCAAACUGGCAAUUAGUUUCAAAUAUCUUUUUUUCAUUUCAAGAUUUUAAAUUACAUUAAUUUUUAUGCGUGGAGAAUUUGUUGGAUUUUAUAUUGAUAUACAUUUAUUUUUAAAAUCAGUUUGAAUGUGAGUCGAAAUUUCGGGAUUAAAAACAGUUCGGACCGCACCGAAAUAUGCAAAAUUUUGUAUAAUUUUUUAACCGUGGCCACAAUAUGGGCUAUAAUGCUAACAAAAAGAAUAUGGGCUCCAAAAAAACCUUAAGAAUUAGCAAAUGGGCUGUAAAUUAUUAGAAAUAAUGGCAGAUGGGAUGUAUGUUGUUUUCCACAUAUUUGAGGCUUUCCUAAAAAAAGGUUGACGCACAAGCACUGACUGUUGGAUGUCCAUCCAACGGCCGUCGUGCUUCUUCAAUCUCUGCUCUUCCUGCUCUAGCCGCUCAAACAAGCGCCGGCGGGACUGCCUGCUCCCUCCUCCCUGCGGCCGGCUGUGCUGCCGCGCAGGCCUCACCGCCCCACCGUACUCCCAUCGCUGGCCUAGCCAUCCCUCUACUCACCCACACCUGCUGUUAUUCUCCGGCGACGGCAGACGAACCAGUAAACCCUCGUACAGUCGUACUCCCCUCCGCGUGGGAAACAACUGUCGAGUCUUCCCUGCCUCCAUGUCGUCCCCUUCCUAGGCCUCGUCGUCGUCCACCGUCGUGGUGCUCUCGGCGCGGCGUGGUCAAUGUGGUCAACGACCGACUUCCAUCGGAAGAGUACUGUGCGUGGAGACGCUGACAGCUGGGUCCACGGCCGCAGCAAGGAAGUGUCUCCUUAUUACGCGCAAAAUAAUUAUUCCUCCACCUGACAGCGGGGACCCACCGGACGGGCCACCGUAUUUCGCGAAAAAAACAUUUCCCCCUGACUGCUGGGACCCACCAGCUACACCUUCGCACACAAGGAAGUGCGUCCGGGCAAAAAAACAAAACGAUUCGCCCCCUGACUGCUGGGACCCACCAGCUACAUCUUCGCAUGCAAGGAAGUGCCUGACAAUCGGGACCCACCUAGUCGAAGCAUACGUAGCGUUGUCAUUCUGGUCGCGAACGUGUACGUACAUAUAUACUGGUGGAUGUAGAGGUGCACACGUGUCGUAGUAGAGGCGCGCACGUAGCAUGUACACGUACGUACAGCGGCCAGGGUGCAAGAAAGAAAAUACGGCCACGUAUGUGUACAUACGGGCGGGGUCUCGAACGCCUACUCGCGCAUACUUACGGCGAGGGCUCGUUGACAUGGCUGGGUCGGAACGGAGAAACAGCGUCGUCGUCGUGUUCAUGGGGAGGCAACGGAAUGCGUCGUGUUCAUGGGGAGGCAACGGAAUGCGUCGUGUUCAUCGGGAGGCAACGGAACGCGUGGGAGCCAACCGGCUGGGUCGGAACAUAAUGCGUGGUCGUGUUCAUCGGGAGGGCUUGGACGGAACAGGCGAUGGAAACGAGGCCUGGCGUACCGUACAACAGAGGAAACGGACCUCCUACAUUCGGAACGGGGUCCUGUUGAUCGGGAGCGGUGUGGCGUACCACAAAACGGAGGAAACGGACCUCCUACGGUCGAAACGGGGGUCCUGUUGAUCGGGAGGGGUGUGGUGUACCGCAAAACGGACGAAACGGACCUCCUACGGUCGAAAUGGGGGUCCUGUUGAUCGGGAGGGGUGUGGCGUACCGCAAAACGGACAAAACAGACCUCCUACGGUUGAAACGGGGGUCCUGUUCAUCGGGAGGGGUGUGGCGUACCGCAAAACGGGACUCCACGGGAUACUGUUCAUCUCCACCGUCGACCUCCUCCAGCCUCCACGGGCUACCGUCGACCUCCUCCAGCCUCCUAGGGCUCCUGUUCAUCCAGCCUCCACCGCGCGCUACUCCACCGGCUACUGUUNNNNNNNNNNNNNNNNNNNNNNNNNNNNNNNNNNNNNNNNNNNNNNNNNNNNNNNNNNNNNNNNNNNNNNNNNNNNNNNNNNNNNNNNNNNNNNNNNNNNNNNNNNNNNNNNNNNNNNNNNNNNNNNNNNNNNNNNNNNNNNNNNNNNNNNNNNNNNNNNNNNNNNNNNNNNNNNNNNNNNNNNNNNNNNNNNNNNNNNNNNNNNNNNNNNNNNNNNNNNNNNNNNNNNNNNNNNNNNNNNNNNNNNNNNNNNNNNNNNNNNNNNNNNNNNNNNNNNNNNNNNNNNNNNNNNNNNNNNNNNNNNNNNNNNNNNNNNNNNNNNNNNNNNNNNNNNNNNNNNNNNNNNNNNNNNNNNNNNNNNNNNNNNNNNNNNNNNGUAGCGAAGGAAUCGCUCGAUCGGGUUCAGUUAACAGCCAUCGAUCGAUCGCUCGGGUUCAGUAACGCGUAGCCUGCAGUGCAAUCGCUCGGGUUCAGUUAGAGCCCAACGCCUCGCUCGGGUUCAGUUAGAGCCAACGCCUCGCACACACGCGCGUAUGUGUACGAGAGAAACGCGCAUCGCUCGGCCCCUGACCUCCCACCGUAACCGGGAACUUCCCAAAAUUUUCCUCGCCCUCGCUUCUACCACGGUUUUUUCCGUCAUGGACGGCCCAAAGAAUGUCAUGCAGCCGCGUCUCCGGCCCGCCCAGGACGAAAAGCCCAUUUUCUGUCAUGAUUUUUUGUCAUAGAAGUAGGAGCCCACCACAUCUAUGAUGAUACCGGGUUUUGUCACAAUUAUCAUCAUAGAAGUGUCAUAUGUAUGACAGGAAAAAAUUUCGUUCGGCCCAAAAUGUCACGGAUGUGUCUUUUUUUUGUAGUGAGAACACUAGCUAUUCACAUGGCCAAACUGAACUUACUGAUAACUGGCUGACAGAAACAUUAUUUAGCAACUUUAGAGCAUUGUUAACACAAGCUACAGCAGGCCAUAAUUCCAAACAAGGGCAUGGAUGGAUAGAGCAUGACAAGAUCUACAAAACAUCCUUACUAAGCAUCUGCAGAUUAUUCAUGGAUUCACUUAUAGCAUCAAGUUAACAUGGCAACAUAAUAUAGCAGGUUCAGACUUCGCUUGCUUGUGCUAGUCACCACAGGGCAUAUAAAAAUACAUGGAUUGCACCACUGUAAAGAUGGCAUGAAUAUGCUCCUAAAACAUGUUGACAUGAUGCUCAAAAGAUAAUCACACAAAAUGCUAUGAAAAAGACAAAUCAGCAAGUUACAACAGUUUUCAGCAGUGGAUAUUACUUAGCACUUUUGCAACGAUGAUUAAGGCAUCAAUAUGGACACUAACAUGAAUGCAAAAUUAUACCAACAUGAAGAGCACACAGAGCAGAUCAUAUGCAUAUCAAGAACAUCACCAUAGGAUAAACAUGCACAUUGUUAGGGCCCACACAACAUGCUCAUAUAAUGUUUAGAAAUCAGGGACUUAGUCAAAAUAACGCAGUUUCCAGAAUGGGCGCACGAUAGCUAGGCGAUGCACAUGCGGGAUUUAGCGGUGCUCGCCACAUGGGCUCCGCCUAGGUUGCAGUGGAGGCAGGCCGGCGGUUGGGUGGGGCCAUGCCCACGAGGCCUGGACGGCCGGAGGAGGCCCAGGACGGAGUGCACGAGGGAUCUUGCUCGAUCCUGAGUAGGGCACGGCACAACGGCGCUCUCCGGCGGCAACGACGCGGUGCAGAAGGGUCGAGGACUGGCGGAGGAGGCGGAUCCGGGGCCGGGACGCCAGAUCUGGCGAGCGGCGGCUGUCGGGGACGCGGUUCUCGAUGACAAGGAG
rnacentral:lncRNA from 1 species